ACACAUGCAGUCGAGCGGCAGCACACAGGAGUUUGCUCCUUUGGUGGCGAGAGGCGGACAGGUGAGUAAUGCCUGGGGAUCUGCCCCCUGGAGGGGGAUAACAAUUGGAAACGACUGCUAAUACCGCAUACUCCCUACGGGGGAAAGAAGGGGACCUUCGGGCCUUCCGCCAUUGGAUGAACCUCCGUGGGAUUAUCUAGUUGGUGAGGUAAUGGCUCACCAAGGCGACGAUCCCUACCUGUUCUGAGAGGAUGAUCAUCCACACUGGGACUGAGACACGGCCCAGACUCCUACGGGAGGCAGCAGUGGGGAAUAUUGCUCAAUGGGGGAAACCCUGAUGCAGCCAUGCCGCGUGUGUUAAGAAGGCCUUCGGGUUGUAAAGCACUUUCAUUAGGGAGGAAAGGGUGACGUUUAAUACGCCUUAUCUGUGACGUUACCUACAGAAGAAGGACCGGCUAACUCCGUGCCGGCAGCCGCGGUAAUACUGAGGGUGCGAGCGUUAAUCGUAAUUACUGGGUCGUAUAGCGUGCGCAGGCGGUUUGUUAAUCAAGAUGUGAUAGCCCGCGCGCUCAACCUAGGAAUAGCAUUUCGUACUGUCGAACUAGAGUCUUGUAGAGGGGGGGUAGAAUUCUAGGUGUAGCGGUGAAAUGCGUAGAGAUCUUGGAGGAGGACCGGUGGUGGACGGCGGCCGCCCUGCACAACGACUGACGCUCAUGCAGCGUAAAGCGUGGGGGA
rnacentral:rRNA from 1 species